rnacentral:rRNA from 1 species
GACGAACGCUGGCGGCGUGCUUAACACAUGCAAGUCGAACGGAAAGGCCCUGCUUUUGUGGGGUGCUCGAGUGGCGAACGGGUGAGUAACACGUGAGUAACCUGCCCUUGACUUUGGGAUAACUUCAGGAAACUGGGGCUAAUACCGGAUAGGAGCUCCUGCUGCAUGGUGGGGGUUGGAAAGUUUCGGCGGUUGGGGAUGGACUCGCGGCUUAUCAGCUUGUUGGUGGGGUAGUGGCUUACCAAGGCUUUGACGGGUAGCCGGCCUGAGAGGGUGACCGGCCACAUUGGGACUGAGAGACGGCCCAGACUCCUACGGGAGGCAGCAGUGGGGAAUAUUGCACAAUGGGCGGAAGCCUGAUGCAGCAACGCCGCGUGCGGGAUGGCGGCCUUCGGGUUGUAAACCGCUUUCGCCUGUGACGAAGCGUGAGUGACGGUAAUGGGUAAAGAAGCACCGGCUAACUACGUG